UCCCCUUCCAGAGUUUCUCCUAAAAAGUGGAUCCCUUCUGGAAUUUCUCCUAAAACACGGAUUCCUUGUUCCAGCUACAUGUGCAGAUGUCCUUCCUCCUAAUUCCUGUGGCACAGCGUUCCCCACAAUAUUUAUUUUCCUGGAUUCUCUCAGGGGUCCACCACGAUACUCCAAAAUCCGGUGUUUUGGACCAUGAGGUCUCCAUUAUUGGAGAUCACAGCCUAAAAGCCCCGCCUUGCUAAACCAGGCCAGAACCUCCCAUUAUCCGAGGGUUUGUGGCCUGAAUUUGGAGACUUCUGGAGAAGAGUUUUCCUGGUCAAUGCAGCCAAGGUCAGAAAUGUGGUGCUGAUCCCCUUGGAGAAUCCAUCUCAGAGAGUGAAGACUGGACUUUGGGAAUGGAAUUCCCUCUCCACUGGUUCUUCAGGAAGCCAAAUAUCCCAGCCUGGGUUUCCUUUGGGACUCCUAAAGAGAGGCCCUCCAGCAGCUGAAUCACCUAAUCUGGCUCAGACAUCUGGCUCCCAGCGGGAUGAUUGCUUGGAAUUGCCAGCCUGUCUCCGGUGACUGGGGAAAAGGAGCGGGGAUUCAUCCGGAGGCAGAG
rnacentral:lncRNA from 1 species